CUUAGUGAAAUAAAUGAGGAAGAGUGUAGGCUCUCUAGAUCGGCAAAGGGGGUGGCUGAGAUGAAGUUCGGGUCUGGAGCUUUGGUUGGUGGGGAAUCGGAAAACAGGAGCUAGGGCAGAGUUUGGCGCCGGGUAGGGGAGCGUCUGCUAGAGUCGGAUCGAGCGGCUUGGUGGAGAUCGGAGGAAGGAGCUCGGCUGCGAGUGGGUAACUUUUUUCGGACGUUACAACAUUUUGAUCUGAAGCAACGACGGUAGCUCGCUCGCUGUGAAGCCCCUUGGUCUCCUUGGCCGACGGGUGUUCUCGCGCUCUACGUCCCGAACGAACAGCUGCCGGCGCCGCUCGUCGUGCUCGACUGCUGGUUACUUGAACUCGUCGCGUAUUUGGUCUCCUUGGCCGACGGGUGUUCUCGCGCUCUACGUCCCGAUCGAACAGCUGCCGGCGCCGCUCGUCGUGCUCGACUGCUGGUUUCUUGAAUUCGUCGCGUAUUUGGUCUCCUUGGCUCGACGGGUGUUUUUCGUCUUCUCUCCGUCUGGAAACCGAAGGUGUUCUCGCGCAGACGUCCCGAUCGAACAGUUGCCGGCGCCGCUCGUCGUGCUCGACUGCUGGUUUCCUUAACUCAACAAUUUCAUGGGAAUGGGAAGGGAAAUAAGAAAGUUAAAGCAAUAAAGUUGUGAAGGGAAAUAAGCAAUGUGAUCACGUGAACCUGACAAAAGGUAAAAGUUCAGGAAAUAGAUUAUCAAAAGCAAUGAGAGUUUUGUCUGGUAGUGGCUUGGCUUGUAAUAGAUUGAAUACUUUAUUAAAAAAAAAAAAUCUCCUUGUUGUGAGAAACGACGAAGAGGAGAAACCCACCUAAUCCGGCCGCGGCAAAGAGGUUGGGACGUGCAGGUGGAGGUUUAGUUCAGAGAAGGCGUCGGCUAGAGGAUCGAGUGGUUUAACGGCUCGGAGCAGCUGUGGUCAAGCGGUUUGACUUGCUUGGAGCUGAUCGGAGGAGGUAUUUGAGAGCUGGAACUAGCACAGAAGUUUGAAGGCGUUGCUAUGUGUAAAAAAAAAAACUUCCGUUCCUUCUGCUCUCUUUUAACGACAAAGCCGCGCCU